CGGAAGAGGGCAGUGCGGUACCAGCUGGACUGUCCCCUGUAUAGACAUGAUGACACACGGAGCUAUUUCACCCCCCUGGCUUUUCAUUCGUGAGGACACCUGCCUCCUCGCAAAGGCGGCGAGGAAAUCCUGAAGGCAGCUACGACCAAACAGAAAUGGGGAGGGGGUAAAUUGGCAGAGGGAGACGCUCACCACCCCAGCUCCAGCGGAAACACGGCUUCCCUGCUUUUAAAUCUCCGGCCCUCAGGAGAGCCAGCGUUGGUUUGCAGCUGCAAGAAAAGGAGAAAUCGAACAACUCGUGGGGCUGGUCAGAGAGGAGCAAGAAAGCUCCCGGCAGACGAGGACCCCGAGAGGAUGUUAACAAUCCAGUUCUCGCUGGUUGCGAUGACUUUAGUAUUCAAAGGGGCCACUGGAGUGUCGGUGAUGCAGACGCAAGGCCCCAUGACUGUGUCCGAGGGGGAAGGUUUGCGCCUCAAUUGUAGCUAUGAUGAUGCCGCAGUGUAUGCCGUCUUCUGGUACGUGCAGUUCCCCAGCCAGCACCCCCGGCUCCUCCUGAGGGACCUGGGACGGGAGAACUCGGAUGAAGGGAUCAGAAAAGGGUUCGAUGCCACCCAUGAUAAAAAGCUCAAAUCCUUCCACCUGUGGAAAGCGUCCGGCGAAGUGAGCGACUCCGCGACCUAUUACUGCGCGGCGAGCGACACAGUGACACGGACCGGCAGGGAGCUGAGCAAAAACCGCGCAGGGUCUGUGCGGAGCAUCGGGAAGGCGGGCACCGGGGUCUGGGAGGGGAAGGGAGAAGCGGCGCAAUCACAGAACUUGGAUCAGGUCUCUCUGGUCACCAGUUAGCUCUGGGCUUCAGCGGCUUGAUCCAAUCCAGGGCUUCACCUUUUUUAGACAUUAUACGGAAUAGCAUGAAACAAAAUUAGCGUAACACCAAUAAAGUCAAACAAACACACGUACAAACUCUACCGAGAUCAUGAGGGGAAAGUUCAUAGUCUACAGGGAAACUAGCACUUUGGGGUGGAGGAAUAUAUAAGUGCCGAACAGAGAAAAAUCGACCCAUAGACAGACAGAUAGACAGACAGACAGCAACAUCCUUCUUUGGCACUUAUGCUGCGGGGGGAGCUGGUUUAUUGGCCGAGUACCCCAAUCUCAUUGCGUUUGAAUAACUCCCCACUGUUUGGCGGGAGUUGAAAGUAAAUUAGUGACAUUUCGCUGCAGCGGCCUGAACGCCUGAUAAAAAUCGGUGAUUUGCACCGUGGAGGCGGGAGUUAACCUGUGUCACAGCUGGCGGGUUACCAAGCACAGAGGGAGGAGCCAGCAGCCACAGGCAAGGCAUCAUUGCAUGUCUUUGGUCUCUGCCGCCCUGCCAAAGUCUCUUGGGGCUGUAGCUGAAAGGAAAAGGUCAGAGCUCCCGUCUCUCUGACUGUCUCGGGGGCUGGCGAGAGAGAAAAAGGGCAACUCCCUCCCUGCAGGCACCGUUGUUAAUGUUUCGCAGUGGAGUGUGGCUUCUACAUUUCGACACAGACACAAAGCGGACACAGGGGGGCUGCAACAGCCCCCCUGUUAGCGACUGUGCUGAUUGUUAUCAGUGAGUAAAAUAACAGUUUUCCCCAAUCUCUGUGUUCCCCAACCCGCCUCCCUCCUCCACCCUACAUCCCCCCACCUCACCAAAUGCACCCCCCAUCUCUCCUCAUACACACUCUUCUUCUUCUUUCUCUCAAUCCAGCCACACCUCUCUCUCCUUCCCCCUGCACUCUCCCUCCCCCUCCCUGGCACUUCGAAACUCCCGAGGCAGUCAUUGGAUGGGGGCUGGCGAAAGAGGAUUUAACCCUAGGGUUCCUCGGCAGUUUCACGCCCACUGAAUCAAUUCUCUUGGUGGUUUUCGGUCCUAGUAGCCCCGGGCAGAACCGAGAUUCAGCAGCCGGGCUCCGCACAAGCUUUGGAGGGAGUC